GAAGUUUCUCUCAGGAUAGCUGGUGCGUUUAAAAUUUAUGUAAAACAAUCUCAUCUGAUAAGCGAUUGAUUAGAGACCUUAGGAUGGAAACGAUCUUAACCUAUUCUCGAACUUUAAAUGGGUAACCCCGCCACUCACCUUUCUUCUUGUGACAUAAUGCGCCCAAGGGGGCCACUUUUGGUAAGCGGAACUGACGCUGUAGAAUGAAGCAAACGUAAUGUUACGAUGCCCAAAUUUGUACGAAAUAAAUGUGGAAAACUUGGGUAUGACGGGUGGGGCCAUCCUUUAAAUCCCCUCGCGUA
rfam:Glossina fuscipes fuscipes unplaced genomic scaffold Scaffold28, whole genome shotgun sequence.